ACCUGAAGAGCUGUUACUUUCCUCCUAGCCUCAGCUCAUCUUAGCUGAGAGGGUUCCCCUGUCUUGAACUCUCAUAGUCCCUUGAACUUCCUUUUCUCUUUGCACUCAGCAUUUGUGGUGGUAUUAGAAACAGAGAGAAGAGGAUAAGUUACAGAGAGAUUGAAGAGGUAGAAUUGCUAGGACUCAUUGAUUAGAAAUUUUAGAAGAGGACCAGUUUAUGGGGCAAAAGAUGAAGAUUUUGGACACAGUGAGUUUGAGCACCAUCAUGCAUUUCCUCUAUGCUGGAACCACACCUAAUCAUCCCCAGGUGACUGCUACACUGAAGCUCAUAAACUGAGAAGUGCUAUGUGUUCUCAGGCUUCUAGCACCAUGGUCUUUUUCAUUGAGUUGGCUCUUCACAUCUGGUGGCCAAAGUAUUGAAGCUUCAGCUUCAGCAAAAGUGGUUAAGCAUCUGCCUGCCAAAGCCUGGAUUUGAUCCCUGGUCUUAGAAGAUCUCACAUGCUGUGAAGCAGCUAAGCUCAUCUACCACAACUACUGAAGCCUGAGUGCCCUAGAGCCCAUACUCUACAACAUACUCUACAGUGAAGCCACCACAAGGAGAAGCCUUGAGAGCAGCCCCUGCUCACCGCAACUAGUAAAAGCCUGUGUUCAGCAACGAAGACCCAGAACAGUCAAUAAA
ensembl:lncRNA